rnacentral:rRNA from 1 species
GAUGAACGCUGGCGGCGUGCCUAAUACAUGCAAGUCGAGCGAACGGACGAGAAGCUUGCUUCUCUGAUGUUAGCGGCGGACGGGUGAGUAACACGUGGAUAACCUACCUAUAAGACUGGGAUAACUUCGGGAAACCGGAGCUAAUACCGUAUAAUAUUUUGAACCGCAUGGUUCAAAAGUGAAAGACGGUCUUGCUGUCACUUAUAGAUGGAUCCGCGCUGCAUUAGCUAGUUGGUAAGGUAACGGCUUACCAAGGCAACGAUGCAUAGCCGACCUGAGAGGGUGAUCGGCCACACUGGAACUGAGACACGGUCCAGACUCCUACGGGAGGCAGCAGUAGGGAAUCUUCCGCAAUGGGCGAAAGCCUGACGGAGCAACGCCGCGUGAGUGAUGAAGGUCUUCGGAUCGUAAAACUCUGUUAUUAGGGAAGAACAUAUGUGUAAGUAACUGUGCACAUCUUGACGGUACCUAAUCAGAAAGCCACGGCUAACUACGUGCCAGCAGCCGCGGUAAUACGUAGGUGGCAAGCGUUAUCCGGAAUUAUUGGGCGUAAAGCGCGCGUAGGCGGUUUUUUAAGUCUGAUGUGAAAGCCCACGGCUCAACCGUGGAGGGUCAUUGGAAACUGGAAAACUUGAGUGCAGAAGAGGAAAGUGGAAUUCCAUGUGUAGCGGUGAAAUGCGCAGAGAUAUGGAGGAACACCAGUGGCGAAGGCGACUUUCUGGUCUGUAACUGACGCUGAUGUGCGAAAGCGUGGGGAUCAAACAGGAUUAGAUACCCUGGUAGUCCACGCCGUAAACGAUGAGUGCUAAGUGUUAGGGGGUUUCCGCCCCUUAGUGCUGCAGCUAACGCAUUAAGCACUCCGCCUGGGGAGUACGACCGCAAGGUUGAAACUCAAAGGAAUUGACGGGGACCCGCACAAGCGGUGGAGCAUGUGGUUUAAUUCGAAGCAACGCGAAGAACCUUACCAAAUCUUGACAUCCUUUGACAACUCUAGAGAUAGAGCCUUCCCCUUCGGGGGACAAAGUGACAGGUGGUGCAUGGUUGUCGUCAGCUCGUGUCGUGAGAUGUUGGGUUAAGUCCCGCAACGAGCGCAACCCUUAAGCUUAGUUGCCAUCAUUAAGUUGGGCACUCUAAGUUGACUGCCGGUGACAAACCGGAGGAAGGUGGGGAUGACGUCAAAUCAUCAUGCCCCUUAUGAUUUGGGCUACACACGUGCUACAAUGGACAAUACAAAGGGCAGCGAAACCGCGAGGUCAAGCAAAUCCCAUAAAGUUGUUCUCAGUUCGGAUUGUAGUCUGCAACUCGACUACAUGAAGCUGGAAUCGCUAGUAAUCGUAGAUCAGCAUGCUACGGUGAAUACGUUCCCGGGUCU